rnacentral:rRNA from 1 species
GUGGGGAAUAUUGCGCAAUGGGCGAAAGCCUGACGCAGCAACGCCGCGUGGGGGAUGAAGGUUUUCGGAUUGUAAACCCCUUUCGAUCGGAACGAAUCUCCUCCUGGUAAAUAAUCAGGAGGAUCGACGGUACCGGGAGAAGAAGCCACGGCUAACUCUGUGCCAGCAGCCGCGGUAAGACAGAGGUGGCAAGCGUUGUUCGGAUUUAUUGGGCGUAAAGCGAACGCAGGCGGUUUGGUAAGUCAGGGGUGAAAGACCACAGCUUAACUGUGGUAUUGCCUUUGAUACUGCCUUUCUUGAGUGGAGUAGGGGGAAGCGGAAUUCCGAGUGUAGAGGUGAAAUUCGUAGAUAUUCGGAGGAACACCGGUGGCGAAGGCGGCUUCCUGGACUCUAACUGACGCUCAUGUUCGAAAGCGUGGGUAGCAAACAGGAUUAGAAACCCUAGUAGUCC